GAUCCUGGCUCAGAUUGAACGCUGGCGGCAGGCUUAACACAUGCAAGUCGAACGGUAACAGGAGAGAGCUUGCUUUCUUUGCUGACGAGUGGCGGACGGGUGAGUAAUGCUUGGGAAUCUGGCUUAUGGAGGGGGAUAACGACGGGAAACUGUCGCUAAUACCGCGUAGAGUCGAGAGACGAAAGUGCGGGACCGCAAGGCCGCAUGCCAUAGGAUGAGCCCAAGUGGGAUUUAGGUAG
rnacentral:rRNA from 1 species